rnacentral:rRNA from 1 species
CAGUGGGGAAUUUUCCGCAAUGGGGGCAACCCUGACGGAGCAACGCCGCGUGGGGGAGGACGGUCUGUGGAUUGUAAACCCCUUUUCCCUAGGAAGAAGCUCUGACGGUACUAGAGGAAUCAGCAUCGGCUAACUCCGUGCCAGCAGCCGCGGUAAGACGGAGGAUGCAAGCGUUAUCCGGAAUUAUUGGGCGUAAAGCGUCCGUAGGCGGUUGUUUAAGUCUGCCGUUAAAGACUACAGCUCAACUGUGGGCCGGCGGUGGAAACUGAAUAACUGGAGUACGGUAGGGGUAGAGGGAAUUCCCAGUGUAGCGGUGAAAUGCGUAGAUAUUGGGAAGAACACCAGUGGCGAAGGCGCUCUACUGGGCCGUAACUGACGCUGAGGGACGAAAGCUAGGGGAGCGAAAGGGAUUAGAUACCCGCGUAGUCC